UACGGAGGGGGCUAGCGUUGUUCGGAAUUACUGGGCGUAAAGCGCGCGUAGGCGGACCUGCAAGUCGGGGGUGAAAGCCCGAGGCUCAACCUCGGAACUGCCUUCGAUACUGCGGGUCUCGAGUCCGGGAGAGGUGAGUGGAAUUCCUAGUGUAGAGGUGAAAUUCGUAGAUAUUCAGAAGAACACCAGUGGCGAAGGCGGCUC
rnacentral:rRNA from 1 species